rnacentral:rRNA from 1 species
GAUGAACGCUGGCGGCGUGCCUAAUACAUGCAAGUCGAGCGAACAGACGAGGAGCUUGCUCCUCUGACGUUAGCGGCGGAAGGGUGAGUAACACGUGGAUAACCUACCUAUAAGACUGGGAUAACUUAGGGAAACCGGAGCUAAUACCGGAUAAUAUAUUGAACCGCAUGGUUCAAUAGUGAAAGACGGUUUUGCUGUCACUUAUAGAUGGAUCCGCGCCGCAUUAGCUAGUUGGUAAGGUAACGGCUUACCAAGGCAACGAUGCGUAGCCGACCUGAGAGGGUGAUCGGCCACACUGGAACUGAGACACGGUCCAGACUCCUACGGGAGGCAGCAGUAGGGAAUCGUCCGCAAUGGGCGAAAGCUUGACGGAGCAACGCCGCGUGAGUGAUGAAGGUCUUCGGAUCGUAAAACUCUGUUAUUAGGGAAGAACAAAUGUGUAAGUAACUAUGCACGUCUUGACGGUACCUAAUCAGAAAGCCACGGCUAACUACGUG